GUGUUGCAAAACUAGCGGAUGAGCUGUGGAUAGGGGUGAAAGGCUAAACAAACUUGGAAAUAGCUGGUUCUCUCCGAAAACUAUUUAGGUAGUGCCUCAAGUAUUACCAUCGGGGGUAGAGCACUGUUAUGGCUAGGGGGUCAUGGCGACUUACCAAACCAUUGCAAACUCCGAAUACCGAUGAGUACAGCUUGGGAGACAGUGCACCGGGUGCUAACGUCCGGACACAAGAGGGAAACAACCCAGACGGCCAGCUAAGGUCCCUAAAAUUGGCUAAGUGGGAAACGAAGUG
rnacentral:rRNA from 1 species